UCACUUAUUUUGGUACUAUAUGAUCGUGGGAUGGACGGUUAUAUCCACCACUGAUCAUGUUCUGAUCAUUAUACACUUUCUACGCUGGUGGUUUCUGAUAUGCCGACUCUAUGUCGGUAGUCUGAAUAUAUCGACUAUAUAUCGAUAAUUAUGAAAGUCCGAAUGAUUAUCGAUCGACAACUCUGAUAUGUCGAUGGUCAUCGAUCUGAAGUCAGUUGAGUCAUCAUAGUCGGAGUUUGCCAGGA
rnacentral:lncRNA from 1 species